rnacentral:misc_RNA from 1 species
AUACUUAGUGAAAGUGCCAUCAAGCAAUAUAUCACGGUGAUAAUUGACAUUGAUCCUAGCAGCCCUAGUGGUAUAUCUUUCGAUGGAUUUUUUGUUUCCUCUGCCAUGGUUGCAAUAUUGUCAAAACCCCCAUAUGCAAAAUACACUAUUGCCGCUGCAACGAAGAUACCUUUGGGACCAUGUGGCAUAAAGGGUGUCAAAUUGGAGGUAUUGGCAUGAGCAAGUCCAGCAAUUAUGACAAAUGAAAUCACCACCAUAUUUACUGCUGAUGCUAUCCAGUUAAAGUAUGAAGUUCUUCUAGUGCUGCUUAUUGCAAUUAUUGAUGUAAUUGCUAAAAUUGCAACAGCUAUUGGAUCUAGUAAGUUGAACCCGUCUAUGAGAUUUGUAUGUAUACGCAAAGAGUUUGGAUGACGAUUCAAGAGCGUUGUAAAGUAAGAAGUCCAGGCUCUUGCUACUGCGGCACUACCAGCAAUGGAUCCAAGAAUUAUGUUCCCUGCUGUGAUAAAGGCUGCAAAGUCUCCCAGUUCUACUCUGAUGUAUGCAAAUGACCCUCCUGCUACGGGAAUUUCUACUGCGAAUUCUGUGUAGCAGAAAACA